rnacentral:rRNA from 1 species
UACGUAGGCAGCGAGCGUUGUUCGGAGUUACUGGGCGUAAAGGGUGUGUAGGCGGCUUUGCAAGUCGGGUGUGAAAGCCCUCAGCUCAACUGAGGAAGUGCGCCCGAAACUGCAGAGCUUGAGUGCCGGAGAGGGUGGCGGAAUUCCCCAAGUAGAGGUGAAAUUCGUAGAUAUGGGGAGGAACACCGGUGGCGAAGGCGGCGAUCUGGGUCGAUACGUGACGCUGAGGUGCGAAAGCGUGGGGAGCAAACAGG